rnacentral:tRNA from 1 species
UUCCCGGGUCGUCUAGGGGCAAGACUACAGAUUUUGGUUCUGUCAACGGAGGUUCGAAUCCUCCCCCGGGAGCCC